rnacentral:lncRNA from 1 species
AUUGUUCUAAAGAAAAGACAACGAUGAAGUUAUAGACGGUGAGCACACACAAUAACUCUUUUAUUUCUUUUUUUUUAAAAUCAAUUGAUUUUCACAAUCAUGCUUUUGUUUUUAUUUAUGUUUUUGUUUUAAAGAUCCACUGGUGAAGAACAGACAACGAUGAAAACGUAGACGGUGAGCACACACAACAACUCUUUCAUUUUUUUCUCAAAUCAAUUGAUUCUCACAAUCAUGAUUUUGUUUACAUACUAUGUUUUCGUUUCUGUUUUUGUUUUACAGAUCCAGUGGUGAAGAACAACGACGGCGAUUCGGUAAAAGCAUCAUCGUGUCGGGAAAAAGAGAGGAGAUGAAGACGAUCUCUAUAUGGUGGUGAAGAAUAAUGAUGGUGAACAAAAUGAAUGUGUAUCAGCCUGCCUAAAAAGAAUAGAAUUGAAGAAGAUGAACUCGC